AAUGUACGCUGGCGGCACGCCUAACACAUGCAAGUCGAGCGAGGUACUUGUACCUAGCGGCAGACGGGUGCGUAACAUGUGGGAAUCUGCCUUUUGGUUCGGAACAACACGGGGAAACUUGUGCUAAUACCGGAUAAGUCCUCACGGAGAAAGAUUUAUCGCCGAAAGAUGAGCCCGCACUAGAUUAGCUUGUUGGUAAGGUAAAAGCUUACCAAGGCAACGAUCAGUAGCUGGUCUGAGAGGAUGAUCAGCCACACUGGGACUGAGACACGGCCCAGACUCCUACGGGAGGCAGCAGUGGGGAAUAUUGGACAAUGGAGGCAACUCUGAUCCAGCAAUGCCGCGUGUGUGAAGAAGGCCCUAGGGUUGUAAAGCACUUUUGUCGGGAAAGAUAAUGACUGUACCCGAAGAAUAAGGUCCGGCUAACUUCG
rnacentral:rRNA from 1 species